AAAGACAGUAAUUGGAAGAUUCUAUUUCUAUUCCAAAUUUUCAUGUGAUUUCUUCAUGUCAAGAGGUUCAGUGAAUUACCUCAAGUUACUGUUAAUGGAGUUGUACUGGAACUGGAGGAUGAAGAUCUUCAGAAUGCAAUAGUUAAUGAAGUUCAGCAUCAAACAUCAGAAAUACAGC